GAUUAUGCUGCCAUCCCAAAGGAGGGCUUUGUUCCUUGAUCCCAUGGGAGAAAUUUCUUCCAAUCUAAAAAGGUGUCAGGAUGUAACAAGGGCUUUUUUGCAACACAAAGGAUGCCAUGUGUCAAGGUGGUCUUGCCGAACGCUGCCUCACCCAAAGCAAAAAGAUGGCACAUCAUGUGGUGUCUUUGCUUUGAAAUUUGCAGAAUGUGUACUCAGAGAGGAGCCAAUUGUUUUUCUUAAUACAGCAGAGGGAGUGGAAGAAUUGAGGAAAGCAA